GACGGAGGGGGCAAGCGUUGUUCGGAAUUACUGGGCGUAAAGCGCACGUAGGCGGAUCAGCAAGUUAGGGGUGAAAUCCCGGGGCUCAACCCCGGAACUGCCUUUAAAACUGUUGGUCUGGAGUCCGAGAGAGGUGAGUGGAAUUCCGAGUGUAGAGGUGAAAUUCGUAGAUAUUCGGAGGAACACCAGUGGCGAAGGCGGCUCACUGGCUCGGUACUGACGCUGAGGUGCGAAAGCGUGGGGAGCAAACAGG
rnacentral:rRNA from 1 species